rnacentral:lncRNA from 1 species
UGGUUUAACUUCAGUCAGAUUUUAAAUCUUGGCUUUAAGGCUUGGCUAAAUAAUUAGGUCAAACCACUGCAACAUUCCCACGUAACUAAGGCCUUAAUAAAGGAUUUUAAAGAUAAAUACCUCAGUUAAAUACUUAAGCUGCAGUCUGAAACCUAUUGAAGUCAACGAGACAGGAGAGCAAGCUGCCAACAAGAUACACUCUGAAGUGUCUUUCUGAAUCAGUGGCUUCAUUCUCCUCUAAGGAACAAACCUCCAUUUCAGUGAAAGUCAUCUUAGGAUCAUGGCUUUUUCUUAGAUCUCUGCCAGCUACGAAGCCUGUGAGAGAGAGGACAGUGGUAUAAAGGCCUGGCUGCAGGAGAGUGCUGCAGGAAGCUGGAGAGAACAGAUUCUCAGCUAUACGUUCCAUUAGAAAGGUAACAUGCACUUACAUAUACCG